rnacentral:siRNA from 1 species
UUGAGUAAAAUCCUACUAUCA